rnacentral:rRNA from 1 species
UGUCUUUUUGGAAAUAAUAUAAAGUCUAAUCUGCCCACUGAUUAAUAAAUUAAAGGGCUGCAGUAUAUUGACUGUACAAAGGUAGCAUAAUCAUUAGUCAUUUAAUUGAUGACUUGUAUGAAGGAUUGGAUGAGAUAUAAACUGUCUCUUAUUUAAUUAUAUAAUUUAAUUUUUUUAUUAAAAAGUUAAAAUAUUUUAAAAAGACGAGAAGACCCUAUAGAGUUUAAUAAAUAUUUAAGUUAAGAUUAUUUUGAGGUAUAAACUUGAAAUUUAACUAUUUAUUUUGUUGGGGUGAUAAAAAAAUAUAAAAAACUUUUUUUAAAAUAAUACAUUUAUAAGUGAUUAAAUGAUCCAAUAUUAUUGAUUAUAAGAAAAAAUUACCUUAGGGAUAACAGCGUAAUUUUUUUUUUUAGUUCAAAUAAGAAAAAGAGUUUGCGACCUCGAUGUUGGAUUAAGAUAAAAUUUAAAUGUAGAAG